rnacentral:sRNA from 5 species
AUAUCUCUCCGUACGGGAAGGAUGAGAAGCUUCGACUAAGGUUCGAUUCGAGCGCAGCGAG